AUACGUAGGUGACAAGCGUUAUCCGGAUUUACUGGGCGUAAAGGGCGCGUAGGCGGUCUUGCAAGUCAGGAGUGAAAUCUAGGGGCUCAACCCCUAAACUGCUUUUGAAACUGUAUUCCUUGAGUAUCGGAGAGGCAGGCGGAAUUCCUUGUGUAGCGGUGAAAUGCGUAGAUAUUAGGAGGAACACCAGUGGCGAAGGCGGCCUGCGGGACGACAACGGCGGCUGAGGCGCGAAAGCGGGGUGAGCAAACAGGAUUAGAUGCCCUGGUAGUCCACGCUGUAAACGAUGAAUACAAGGUGUGGGGGGUCUGACCCUCUCAGUGCCGCAGUUAACACAAUAAGUAUUCCGCCUGGGGAGUACGAUCGCAAGAUUGAAACUCAAAUGAAUUGACGGGG
rnacentral:rRNA from 1 species